rnacentral:rRNA from 1 species
UACGGGGGGGGCAAGCGUUGUUCGGAAUUACUGGGCGUAAAGGGCUCGUAGGUGGCCCCAUAAGUCAGACGUGAAAUCCCUCGGCUCAACCGAGGAACUGCGUCUGAGACUGCGGGGCUUGAAUCCGGGAGAGGGAUGCGGAAUUCCAGGUGUAGCGGUGAAAUGCGUAGAUAUCUGGAGGAACACCGGUGGUGAAGGCGGCAUCCUGGACCGGUAUUGACACUGAGGAGCGAAAGCCAGGGGAGCAAACAGG